rnacentral:rRNA from 2 species
GGAUGCGAUCAUACCAGCACUAAAGCACCGGAUCCCAUCAGAACUCCGAAGUUAAGCGUGCUUGGGCGAGAGUAGUACUAGGAUGGUGUCACAUCCC